UACGGAGGAUCCAAGCGUUAUCCGGAUUUAUUGGGUUUAAAGGGUGCGUAGGCGGAAUAGUAAGUCAGUGGUGAAAACCUGCAGCUUAACUGCAGAACUGCCAUUGAUACUGCUAAUCUUGAGUACAUUUGAUGUGGGCGGAAUGUGUCAUGUAGCGGUGAAAUGCAUAGAUAUGACACAGAACACCGAUUGCGAAGGCAGCUCACAAAACUGUAACUGACGCUGAGGCACGAAAGCGUGGGGAGCAAACAGG
rnacentral:rRNA from 1 species